rnacentral:rRNA from 1 species
ACGUAGGGGGCAAGCGUUAUCCGGAAUUAUUGGGCGUAAAGAGUGCGUAGGCGGUUUUUUAAGCGAGAGGUGAAAGGCAAUAGCUUAACUAUUGUCAGCCUUGUGAACUGGUAGACUUGAGUGAAGGAGAGGAAAGUGGAAUUCCUAGUGUAGCGGUGAAAUGCGUAGAUAUUAGGAGGAACACCAGUGGCGAAGGCGACUUUCUGGACUGUAACUGACGCUGAGGCACGAAAGCGUGGGUAGCAAACAG